UGCAACCCGCCUGCAUGAAGCUGGAAUCGCUAGUAAUCGCGGAUCAGAAUGCCGCGGUGAAUACGUUCCCGGGUCUUGUACACACCGCCCGUCACACCAUGGGAGUCGGUAACGCCCGAAGUCAGUGACCCAACCGGAAGGAGGGAGCUGCCGAAGGCGGGACUGGUAACUGGGGUGAAGUCGUAACAAGGUAUC
rnacentral:rRNA from 1 species